rnacentral:ncRNA from 24 species
AAGAGGGAAUCCGGUGCGAAUCCGGAGCUGUCCCGCAGCGGUCAGCUGGAACGAAAGCCGUCAGAUGGCACUGGGAGGCCACUCCCGGGAAGCGACGGCCGGUAGGAAGACCGCCCGCGUGGGGUUCUGCCGAACAGGCAGUCGUCAAGGCCCCCGCGGGUCGGCCCGCCAGCGAGCCCGAAUACCU